AGAGUUUGAUUCUGGCUCAGAACGAACGCUGGCGGCAGGCCUUAUACAUGCAAGUCGAGCGCAUCCUUCGGGGUGAGCGGCGGACGGGUGAGUAACGCGUGGGAAUGUGCCCUUCUCUACGGAAUAGCCACUGGAAACGGUGAGUAAUACCGUAUACGCCCUUAGGGGGAAAGAUUUAUCGGAGAAGGAUCAGCCCGCGUUAGAUUAGGUAGUUGGUGGGGUAACGGCCUACCAAGCCUACGAUCUAUAGCUGGUUUUAGAGGAUGAUCAGCCACACUGGGACUGAGACACGGCCCAGACUCCUACGGGAGGCAGCAGUAGGGAAUCUUGGACAAUGGGGGAAACCCUGAUCCAGCCAUGCCGCGUGAGUGAAGAAGGCCUUAGGGUCGUAAAGCUCUUUCGCCUGUGAUGAUAAUGACAGUAGCAGGUAAAGAAACCCCGGCUAACUCCGUGCCAGCCGCCGCGGUAAUAC
rnacentral:rRNA from 1 species